rnacentral:misc_RNA from 1 species
AACAGCGGUGCAGUUCUGGUGG